CCUCCUUUCAAGGAUAGUCCCAUAAAAUUUUAUGAGACAUAACCUUAUUUUUAAGUACUAUAGCGCUAAGAUAAUUCGCCGUCUCCGUAUCCCUUUCACGAGCCAGUACUGCAUUAGUGUGAACUUUGGUCAGUGGUUAUAUAAGUUUAAAUCUGGGCCUGUAGCUCAGCUUGGUUAGAGCACACGCCUGAUAAGCGUGAGGUCGGUAGUUCAAGUCUACCCAGGCCCACCAUGGUUUGGGGGCGUAGCUCAGCUGGGAGAGCACCUGCUUUGCAAGCAGGAGGUCAUCGGUUCGAACCCGUUCGCCUCCACCAGUACUUUUAUUUAAUGGCUCGUUGUGCUAUAAGUUAUAGCGUAGGUGAAAUGCUACAUAAGUGUUUUGCUCUUUUAUAUUGUGAAUAGGUCUGAUGAUUAAUCGUUAAUCUCUUUUUCAAGGUUAUCGACUGUAUUUUUACUGGUGGUUUUAUCCCUGUUGUCAGU
rnacentral:tRNA from 1 species